ACAGCGCCAGAGCUGUAAAGGCAUCGCUGCAGUUCUGCUCUGACACCCGGACCCAGCACUGCAGUUGAAGCACCAAGGAGCUACCAUCAUCACGUGCCAUCAUGUAAGUAGUUCCUCUGUAGGACAUCCUAGUUAUCCUAAUUGCUUUAUCCUCACUUUUGCUCUUCCUGCAAAUAAAUGACGCUGCACUGCUAUCAGGGGAACUCCUGGCCUGCCCUCCCAGGCCUGGUGCAGCAGUGGGCUCAGACAUGAGCAAAAGCCUUGGUUUGUUUUUUUUUUUUUCCAGAAUAUAAGUACAGGAUUUGAAAUGACUCAAAUAAAAAUUCUUUUCUGAAUGGCUUCAGGGGAAACUGUUCAUAAAAUCCUUCUGUUAUUAGCAAAGACAGUUCAUUAUCAGCACACCGUAAUAAAGGAACACACCUGGGUUAUCACUGUCUGCAGGACACAAACUGCUUUUCCACUCAGUGCUGAAUGCUCCAACCUCUAUAGUGUAGAGACUGACCUUCUGCCAGCAGCAGCACAGCUCUCGGUAGCUCUGGAUCCCCACAUCUGUAGUAGCAAAAGAUGCAGACAGUCACCUAGUGGGAAAUAUGGAACAUUUCUACUUUCUUAUACCCUUGAAACGCUGAGGUAUGAUGGAGAAGAGGAACUGAGGACCUCCAGAAAGAAUAUGGUGACAAGUCCUGUGCUGAGUGGUCUCCAGUAACUGGGAUGCCAGACUAUUUUUACCGUUUGAACAUGACUUUAUAUACGCUGGUGCCCGGGUUCCUACCCAGAAGCAGGAGGGCUUUGUCAGAGAGGAAGAGGAAAAUCUUCCUGUGCUGGACCUGAGUUCAGAGCAGGAGAGCGCGUGCGGAGACAUGAAUCAGAUCACAGAAUGGCCUGGGUCGAAAAGGACCGUCAUGAUCACCUGGUCUCAACCCCCUGCCGUGUGCAGGGUCGCCAGUCACGGUGAGGAAUCCUGCCCAGGGAGCCGGGGAGGGCGAGAGGAAGGGAAAGGAGGAACUCUGCUUAUGCGAACACUUCGCAGGUGCUCUUCGUUCCAUUGUCACAGCUGAUCCCUUCAGCAUAAUCUGAAGCACCGAGUGAAAGAGAUCGCAAUCUGCACUAUGAAACCUGCCGUUCUCCCCGGCUCAACCCACGGACACGUUUACACUUUCUCCACUUUUUCCCCAGCUGAGCACACUACACAUGAUGGGGCUCUCAGCUGCAGCCGCUGCUUACAGUGCUGCAUGAAACCAACACGGCCUUUGUAAAUAAAGCCAUGCAAAUACACACAGGCGCAUACUAACAAAAUGAAACACGACAUUUGCAGAAGUGCAUGCAGAUAUUUACCAAGUUGUGCGUUUUACUUCUGUGUUUCUGUAACUCAGACAAGAGGAACAGCGUAGGUUUAAUAUUUUUAUACUUAUGACUGUAAUUCAAAUACUUGGAAGACGUAUAUCGUACAACAUCUCACCAGGGACGUGUUGUACUGUACCGGGAAGAGCAAGGAAGCAUUUUUAUCCAUAGAAAUGCCAUUUGAGUGCUGCCUCACCAAAAUGCUUUGUACUUUCCUGGUGAAGAGCAGUCUUAGAUAACUGGUUUAAUGUUUAAAGUUAAUGUCAAGAUGCUGCUGUUGGUGUCUGUCCAGAUGAGGGAUCUAACAGAUCUGUCUUCACAUUAAGAACACACAGAAAAUCUUGUAGUGUAAGCUAGAACAAAAAGCCUUUAAUUGCUUUACAAUAGACUUGAAAGUGUAUACCACAUCAGUGGAUGGAAAAAAAGUAUCACUGAGGGUGCGACGACAGCUCUGUACCUAUUUUUGUUCCAACAUACACUUCUGUCUAAUAGGGCACAUUUCUCGGAUCUUACUUUUUCCUUCCACCUUCACCUUCUGCAACUUUCUUUGCAGAGCACAGUGGGAACUGAAAAGGAAAUCAGAUAUUCCACACAGUCCGAAUGGAAGAAUUUUGCUGUGGUGCACUUUUCGAUUGGGCUUCUACAGUUAACCUUCAGAAAUCUCUCACUUCCUCCUCACUUCUUAUUCCUUAAUAACAUUUUCACUAUGAGCACCUUUAUAUUGAAUUGCUGUAGUCAAAACAGAACCAAAAAGAUUUUAACACAGGCUCAAAACAACGAUUCCUCCUCCUCCGUCUCCAUCUCAGGCAGUGGCGAUAUGCCCACAGAUUACUCAAAGGUAAUGUUCAGGGGUGCAACAAUGUAUUAGGGGGGGAAAAGGAGCUUUUGCCUUCUCUUGCCUUUAGAAGGAUCAGAUGUGCUAGAUUCAAUUCACUGUGAAAUGUUUUACAAUGAUUACGUGCACUGCAGACCUCAGUAACUUUCUCCAAAGUACUUCCUGAACAUCACAGCACUCUUCUAGCUGCGGUUUGCUUGCCUGACAACUUCUAUCUGCUUUUUGCUCUUUUCCUCCACGUUGUGUUUCUGUUUUUGUUUCCCCCUGAAAUGUAGCCCAAUAAACAC
ensembl:lncRNA